rnacentral:rRNA from 1 species
UGCAAGUCGAGCGAAUGGAUAAGGAGCUUGCUCCUUUGACGUUAGCGGCGGACGGGUGAGUAACACGUGGGCAACCUGCCUUUUAGAUUGGGAUAACUCCGGGAAACCGGGGCUAAUACCGAAUAAUCUUUUUUACUUCAUGGUGAAAUAUUGAAAGACGGUUUCGGCUGUCACUUUUGGAUGGGCCCGCGGCGCAUUAGCUAGUUGGUGAGGUAACGGCUCACCAAGGCGACGAUGCGUAGCCGACCUGAGAGGGUGAUCGGCCACACUGGGACUGAGACACGGCCCAGACUCCUACGGGAGGCAGCAGUAGGGAAUCUUCCACAAUGGGCGAAAGCCUGAUGGAGCAACGCCGCGUGAGUGAAGAAGGUUUUCGGAUCGUAAAACUCUGUUGUAAGGGAAGAACAAGUGCAGUGUAACUGGCUGGACCUUGGCSGGACCUUAUUAGAAAGCCCCGGCUAAUACGUGUCAGCAGCCGCGGUAAUAUGUAGGUGGCAAGRGUUUCUCGGAAUUAUUGGGGUAAAAAGCGCGCAGGCGGUCCUUUAAGUGUGAUAUGAAAGCCCACCGCUCAACCCUGGAGGGUCAUUGGAAACUGGGGACUUGAGUGCAGAAGAGGAAAGUGGAAUUUCCAGUGUAGCGGGGAAAUGUGUAGAGAUUUGGAGGAACACCAGUGGCGAARGCGACUUUCUGGUCUGUWACUGACGCUGAGGCGCGAAAGCGUGGGGAGCAAACAGGAUUAGAUACCCUGGUAGUCCACGCCGUAAACGAAUGAGUGUUAAGUGUUAGAGGGUUUCCGCCCCUUAGUGCUGCAGCUAACGCAUUAAGCACUCCGCCUGGGGAGUACGGUCGCAAGAGUGAAACUCAAAGGAAUAGACGGGGGCCCGCACAAGCGGUGGAGCAUGUGGUUUAAUUUGAAGCAACGCGAAGAGCCUUACCACGUCUCGACAUAUCGUUGAACACUGUAGAGAUAUGGUUUUCUCUUUGGGGACAACAGUGACAGGUGGUGCAUGGUUGUCGUCAGCUCGUGUCGUGAGAUGUUGGGUUAAGUCCCGCAACGAGCGCAACCCUUGAUCUUAGUUGCCAUCAUUUAGUUGGGCACUCUAAGGUGACUGCCGGUGACAAACCGGAGGAAGGUGGGGAUGACGUCAAAUCAUCAUGCCCCUUAUGACCUGGGCUACACACGUGCUACAAUGGACGAUACAAACGGUUGCCAACUCGCGAGAGGGAGCUAAUCUGAUAAAGUCGUUCUCAGUUCGGAUUGUAGGCUGCAACUCGCCUACAUGAAGCCGGAAUCGCUAGUAAUCGCGGAUCAG